GUGCUCACUUCAGCAGCAUAUAUACUAAAACUGGAAAGAUAAAGAUAAUAUUAGCAUGGCACCUGCACAAGGAUGACAUGCAAAUUCAUGAAGAGUUCCAUAUUAAA
rnacentral:snRNA from 1 species